rnacentral:tRNA from 1 species
GCCGGUGUGGUGGAAUUGGCAGACGCGCGGGACUCAAAAUCCCGUGUCUUCACGGACGUGCGGGUUCGACCCCCGCCACCGGCACCA